rnacentral:rRNA from 1 species
UUUUAAUGAGAGUUUGAUCCUGGCUCAGGACGAACGCUGGCGGCGUGCCUAAUACAUGCAAGUAGAACGCUGAGGUUUGGUGUUUACACUAGACUGAUGAGUUGCGAACGGGUGAGUAACGCGUAGGUAACCUGCCUCAUAGCGGGGGAUAACUAUUGGAAACGAUAGCUAAUACCGCAUAAGAGUAAUUAACACAUGUUAGUUAUUUAAAAGGAGCAAUUGCUUCACU